GUACUGACCCUACGGGGGGCAGCAGUGGGGAAUCUUGGACAAUGGGGGCAACCCUGAUCCAGCCAUGCCGCGUGUGUGAAGAAGGCCCUAGGGUUGUAAAGCACUUUCAGUAGGGAGGAAGGCUUCGGGUUAAUACCCUGGAGUACUUGACGUUACCUACAGAAGAAGCACCGGCUAAUUUCGUGCCAGCAGCCGCGGUAAUACGAAAGGUGCGAGCGUUAAUCGGAAUUACUGGGCGUAAAGCGCGCGUAGGCGGUU
rnacentral:rRNA from 1 species